rnacentral:lncRNA from 10 species
UGACUAUUAUAUGGUGUUUGAUGCAAAUACUGCAGUUUAAUUUCCUCACUGCUCCCUUUCCCCUCUUUUUCUCUUUUGUCCCUUUUUUGCCCUCAUCUUGUAGAGAAGGAAGGGCACAGGGGCCUCUUUCUACACUAAGGAAAUCUCAGAGGAGUUAUCCCAGGUCCAUAGAGACUUCCUGAGUAGCAUUCAAGCUGCAGUUCUCUUCAGCUGGCAACUGUUCUACAGUUUGCAACCUCAGGUCAUUCCAAAGAACGAACCUCUUGAAAUAAACACAGAGGAAUGGGGCCUUUUAUUAUCUCCAGAUGGGAUUAUGCGGACUUGGAAGCUGUUGAAAUAAUUCUUCUGUGCCUGAAUCAAACUUUUGUUAUCUUCCAAAAGGAAAGAAAGAGAGGAGUGGUAAAUUGUGUUAACUGAAAGCCAACUCGGGUUAAAUUCUGCUGAUAGGUCCCCUUCCCCCACUAAAACCCAGGUUUUUAAAUUUGCUUUUUAUUUAUUUUUGCAUCCCUUUUUCCCUUUUACAAUAAGAUAUUAAGCUGGGUUGGAAUGCACACACAUACACACAAACACAAAAGGACAAAAUUGUAAAACCGUUGUUUUUGUGUUAUCCAAGAUUUAGAUGUUGUUUUUUUAAAACGGGGAUGAAAUCUGAAAGUGGAAAUACAUGUUUUUUAGGGUAUUACUAGAAAAGAAAGUAUGAUAAAGCGUGUCUGUAAUACUUUUAUUUUUACUCUGGUGGUAGUGGCGAGCUGAGAAGUUUCUACAUACAUGGAGUCCAGUAAACAUCUAUUGAACAAACACCAUCAAUAUGUACAAUUUUGGGCUAUAUAAUUUUAAAAUUGAUGGUGCCACCUAUUGGUGAUGACAUAAAGUGUAAAAUGAUCACUUACAUAGUAAGUUAUUUCAUGUUUUCCAAUCAUGUUACUUAUUCCCACAGAGAUUCUGUGAGGAGCUGGAAGGCAAGCUUGGUUCAUGCAGACAUGAGGCACUAAUGUUUUCAACUGGGUUGCUCUCCACUGGAUGCCUAUUAAAUGCUCAGCACUUUGGAGUAUACCAGAGAAGUAAAGACAUGGCCCCUGCCUUCAAGGAGCAUUUUAUCCAGUUGGGUGGGACGCUACUUCAGACUGCUUUCAUGUCAAGAUCUGCCUCAUCUUCCAAAGUGGGAGUUCCCAGCAUUAGGCUUGUGGGGGUGGAAGCUUAAUCCGCCUCCUUCCAAAAACUGAAAUCUGGCCAGACGCGGUGGCUCACACCUGUAAUCUCAGCACUUUGGGAGGCUAAGGCAAGUGGAGCACGAGGUCAGGAGAUCGAGACCAUCCUGGCCAACAUGGUGAAACCCCAUCUCUACUGAAAAUACAAAAAUUAGCCGGGCAUGGUGGCUUGUGCCUGUAAUCCCAGCUACUCGAGAGACUGAGGCGAGAGAAUUGCUUGAACCCGGGAGGCAGAGGUUGCAGUGAGCCAAGAUCCCACCACUGCACAUCAGCCUGGGCGACAGAACCAGAUUCUGUCUGAGAAAAAAAAAAAAAAAGAAAGAAAGCCAACCAAUUCUUGCUGUAACUUCUGAAAAAGAACACAGUGCUGUGGCAGCAAUAAUGAUGACAUUCUUCCAAGGGGCAGGAUAAGAAAGAGGCAAAACAGCUGCUGGAGGUGGAUUUUUGGCAUUAGGGAAGUGUGAAAUGU